rnacentral:rRNA from 1 species
AACGAACGCUGGCGGCGUGGAUAAGACAUGCAAGUCGAGCGACUGUUAACGGGUAGCAAUAUUCGUUAACGGGAGCGGCGCAAGGGUGCGUAACACGUGGGCAAUCUGCCGUGAAGUUUGGGAUAACUUGCUGAAAGGCGAGCUAAUACCGAAUGUGAACCUUGGGAGGCAUCUUCCUGGGUUUGAAGUUGGGGACCGCAAGGCCUGACGCUUCAUGAUGAGCCCGCGGCCUAUCAUUGGUAGUUGGUGAGGUAACGGCUCACCAAGCCUGAGACGGGUAGCUGGUCUGAGAGGACGACCAGCCACACUGGAACUGAGACACGGUCCAGACACCUACGGGUGGCUG